CAGGUAGGCGGCUAUGGAAGUCUGUUGUGAAAUCCCAGGGCUCAACCCUGGAACUGCAAUGGAAACUCUAUGGCUUGAGCGUUAGAGAGGUGAGGGGAAUUCUCGGUGUAAGGGUGAAAUCUGUAGAUAUCGAGAGGAACACCAGUGGCGAAGGCGCCUCACUGGAUGACUGCUGACGCUGAACUGCGAAAGCUGGGGGAGCAAACAGGAUUAGAUACCCUGGUAGUCC
rnacentral:rRNA from 1 species